GAUGAACGCUAGCGGCAAGCUUAAUUACAUGCAAGUCGAGGGGCGAGCAUGACUGUAGUAAUACAGUUGAUGGCGACCGGCAAACGGGUGCGGAAACACGUACAGAACCUCCCUUCGAGCGGGGAAGUAGCCCAGAGAAAUUUGGAUUAAUACCCCAUAGUAUAUUGAUGAGGCAUCUCAUUAAUAUUAAAGAUUUAUCACUUGAAGAUGGCUGUGCGGCUGAUUAGAUAGUUGGCGGGGUAACGGCCCACCAAGUCUGCGAUCAGUAACUGGUGUGAGAGCACGACCAGUCACACGGGCACUGAGACACGGGCCCGACUCCUACGGGAGGCAGCAGUAAGGAAUAUUGGUCAAAUGGACGAAAAGUCUGAACCAAGCUAUGCCGCGUGGAGGAUGAAGG
rnacentral:rRNA from 1 species